AAAAAGGGAGAUUUUGCUACUCAAGGACCAAAAGGUGACAAAGGAGAACGUGGACAUCCGGGAGCACCAGGUGAAAGAGAGAAAGGUGAACCUGGUAA